rnacentral:rRNA from 1 species
CCCUUAGAUGUUCUGGGCCGCACGCGCGCUACACUGAUGCAUUCAACGAGUCUAAAACCUGCUCUGAUAGGGGUGGGUAAUCUUUUGAAUGUGCAUCGUGAUUGGGAUAGAUGAUUGCAAUUUUUCAUCUUCAACGAGGAAUGCCUAGUAAACGCAAGUCAUCAGCAUGCAUUGAUUACGUCCCUGCCCUUUGUACACACCGCCCGUCGCUCCUACCGAUUGAAUGAUCCGAUGAAUAUCAUGGAUUGAGGAUGCAAGCAGGUUCGCCUGUCUUCAUCUUCGAGAAGUGAAGUAAAUCUUAUCAUUUAGAGGAAGGAGAAGUCGUAACA